CCUCGGAUCCGGCAGGAUCCGGGACGAGGAGGGGUGGAUGAGACGGGGGAGGAGGAGGAGGAGAGUGUGGGGGCGUCUGGGGAGGAGCGAGGGGUGAGAAGAUGAGAGGGAGAGAGAGAAGAGGUGGUGUAGCAGGGCCGGACCGCCGUCCUCUUCCACUCCAUCAACAGGCUUUCUCAACAGCAGGCUGCACCACCGCUCGAAAGCCACCGGUCUUCUUCCACUCCAUCAACACAAUUUCAGCGGCAGGGAGUGCUUGCCGUAGUGGAAACGAAGCAAGAACUGGAUGGAGCUCAGGAUUUUGCUACUACCUUGCUAAUAGCUUUGUGAGGCAUGUCACCGAUGGCAAGUGCAAGAAGAAAGCACCGAGGAGAAUCCACAAAUCCAAGAGGCAGAAGCAUAAGCGCGUCCUGCUCAAUGAUCUCUUGGGUGAACUUAUCAAAAUGCUAGGUGAGUUAAAUAGGUGUGCAUCAAUCACUAGCCCCCUCGACACCUUAUAGAUUACGUCACAGCUAGCGUUGCUUCAGUGAAGUUGUCUCUUAAUUUGGGGGGUCGUUUCCUUUUCCAUGUGGUUAUUUGGAAUGUCAGAGUUGAGCGUGGGUAUGUAUGAAUCUGGGUCAUGUUGUUACUAUCCAUGUCCAAUUGUCCAAGUCAUGCUUUUGGGGUGAAUACUGGGGUUCAGUAUGUGUCAUGGAUUUCUUUAGUAGAUCCCAAUGAAUGUUUAUGCCGUUGAAAACGUGGCUGACCUCAUUGAAAAUUAGUAACACCAGAAGACCUCUCGAUGUCUCUCGAUGUUUGUUGACAAUUCAUUACAUUGUGCAUAAUUGUCAGCAUAUAAAACUGUGUAGUACCUGCAUCCAUUAAUUCCAAUCUUUUUCUAAUCCAUCUGUCUCAGGCUCUCAGCCAUGCAUCUUGCAUCAAACUGUAUGUGCCUUGGAGUAUAUUGCUUCUUAUAUUGCACCCAUUAUUAGUGAAGAAAUUGCGAAAUGCUUACUAUGCAUGGUGAUUAUUUAACCAGAGUAACAUCUGACAUGAAAAGGCACUUCAAAUCAGGGCUAAUUUUCAAGCCUGAAUACCUUUUACUUAGAACAAAGUACUGGUACAUAUUCUCUAUUUUUAAAUGUAGCCAUCCCACUCUCCCUGGAAGCCCCGCCCCCUGCUACAUUUUCAUGGUCACCGCCCCCAGAAACGGCUACAAGAUGAAGCGACGCACAAGGUUUCUUCUCUCCUUCUUCUGGUUUUUCUCUUUGAUAUCCAUUUGUUGCCUUGGGUAUUUCUUGAUUCCUUCUCUGGUGUGUGUGUGUUUGUGUGUGUGUGUGUGUGUGUGUGUGUGUAUGUGUGCGUGUGCGUGUGCGUGUGCGUGCGUGCGCGCGCGUGCCCGCGCGCGUGUGUGUGUGGAAGGUCACGCGCCUUUGCGCCGGGUGGGAGCAUCUACUGCACUAAUAGAAUGCCAAGCAUAGGAAAGGCUCCCCAAGAUGAUAUAUGCUUCUUCAGUUUACGCGCAUUUUUUAGAACUUUUUUCACCCAAUGAUAAUUCAUUACUGCUUGAACUCUCCAUGGUCAGACAAUUUGGUUGGUGUCAUGUUCUGAAUGCAUGGUGAUAUUGAGCACGUACAAGGCUUUCCGAUUCAACCGCAAUUUCCAGGGUAGUUGUUCUAGCAGGAUAUUGUAUUUGUUACGGAAAACAUGGAUGAGUAAUUACAUGAUAUAUUAUUAAUAUUAAACUGUGUUGUUUCUCUGAAACUAACUUGGUAUUUCAGCUGUGGAAACUGAUGUUCUAACCUUAGUUCCAUAGAUGAAUCUUUGUUGUCUUUUUCAGAAAGGGAAUGUCUGGUAUAUCUUUCUUUGUGGAUUUAUUCAGUGAGUUUUCUACAUUUGGGCUGCAUUGUUAAGAAAGAGUUUGAUGAUGCCACAAGAGCAAGAAUUAAAAGUCGUUUGUAGAACCAUGUUUCCUCAUGGCAGGAGGCGAGCAAUACUUUACUAUUACAAUGUUCAUUUUCAAUACAAUCAGAAGUAUGACACUGAUUGUCAAUUGCGCGUUCAUGCAAUACUUUACCCAUGAAAUAGAAGAGUUGUGCAGGCGUGUGAUUCAAGUUCUUCGACGGAAUGGACCCAACUCAUUCAGUGAAGAAAUUUCAAGGUUCUCUUUCGGAACUGGUUUGAGCUUCUAUAAGUUCAGUUUGAAGAACAGUAUCACAGAAUAAGGAAUCAUGAAAAUAAUGAGGUAACAGCAGAGGGUGAGUGUUGCAAAAAAGAUUGACGACUGGAGCUAAAAACAGGCAAGAGAAUGUACAGAAAAGCCUUACUUUAGAUUUAGCCAGUAGAGCAUGUGCCCUUCGCAUAGGGAUAAUAACUUUUAGUAAAACAGCAGCACCGGUUUGAUUCAGGGUAUACAAUAUCUUACAAACAGUCAAGGAUUCACCAACUCACCAGUCAAGCAUUAGAUAGAUAACAAAAAUGUAGGAAUAACAUGUGUGCAGAAGUACAUUCCUACUCAUCAUGACGACAGGUGUCAAGAAGGAACUAGGUAGGAAUAACAUGUGUGCAGAAGUACAUUCCUACUCAUCAUGAGGACAGGUGUCAAGAAGGAACUAGGUAGGAAUAACAUGUGUGCAGAAGUACAUUCCUACUCAUCAUGAGGACAGGUGUCAAGAAGGAACUAGGGAUACCCAUAGCAUUUCCCCACUGUUUAAUCAAUCUUAGUGGAACUGGGUCGUCAUGUAAAGUAGUUUCACUUGGGGUGCAUCCAUCAGCCUCCUUAACCACAUAAUAGACAGUGGAGCUGAAACUUCCCCUCUUUUUUUAAGAAUGCCUAGUCGGGUUCUUCUCCUACCAGUACCGAAUAGAACUCGAAAUCGAAUUUCAUUGCGGGAAAUUAGGAUUUCAUGAGGGAGGAAAAGGGGGUGGAGAGUCGUACAAUGCAUUGGUGGGAUGAAGAUCAGAGAAGCGAAUGCCUCUCGUAAUUGAUUGAAAAGUGCUCUGCUGCUUCAAAUAUCAUGACAAUUCAAAUACAAACUGCAGACCUGUACUUACGGUCAGAGAUGAUGGCUGAACAUUCCUUAUUUCCAAUAACAAUACUUUCCGCUUGAAGGAAGUUUCUUAUUGGAUUACAUAAUGCUUCCAGAUCAUCUUCGUUCUGGUCAUAGCUAUUCUGAGUUGUCAUAGUCUUCAAUGUUAGGCAUCUAGGUGCCCUAAGCAGCUUGUCAUUGACUGAUUGAUUUAGAAAACACAUAGAUUCCUGUUUCGCCUGUAGAUAAAGUAUGGUUAAAUAGUUAUGGAAUUCCUCAGGAACUGUGUCCUGAAGUUUCCCACUUUCAAAGAAACUGGAAACCCAUAAUAGUUUCCUAUGGUUA